GAGUUUGAUCCUGGCUCAGGAUGAACGCUGACAGAAUGCUUAACACAUGCAAGUCAACUUGAACUUCGGUUUGGGUGGCGGACGGGUGAGUAACGCGUAAAGAACUUGCCUCACAGAUAGGGACAACAUUUGGAAACGAAUGCUAAUACCUGAUAUUAUGAUUUUAGGGCAUCCUAGAAUUAUGAAAGCUAUAUGCGCUGUGAGAGAGCUUUGCGUCCCAUUAGCUAGUUGGAGAGGUAACGGCUCACCAAGGCGAUGAUGGGUAGCCGGCCUGAGAGGGUGAUCGGCCACAAGGGGACUGAGACACGGCCCUUACUCCUACGGGAGGCAGCAGUGGGGAAUAUUGGACAAUGGACCAAGAGUCUGAUCCAGCAAUUCUGUGUGCACGAUGAAGUUUUUCGGAAUGUAAAGUGCUUUCAGUUGGGAAGAAAAAAAUGACGGUACCAACAGAAGAAGUGACGGCUAAAUACGUGCCAGCAGCCGCGGUAAUACGUAUGUCACAAGCGUUAUCCGGAUUUAUUGGGCGUAAAGCGCGUCUAGGUGGUUAUGUAAGUCUGAUGUGAAAAUGCAGGGCUCAACUCUGUAUUGCGUUGGAAACUGUGUAACUAGAGUACUGGAGAGGUAAGCGGAACUACAAGUGUAGAGGUGAAAUUCGUAGAUAUUUGUAGGAAUGCCGAUGGGGAAGCCAGCUUACUGGACAGAUACUGACGCUGAAGCGCGAAAGCGUGGGUAGCAAACAGGAUUAGAUACCCUGGUAGUCCACGCCGUAAACGAUGAUUACUAGGUGUUGGGGGUCGAACCUCAGCGCCCAAGCAAACGCGAUAAGUAAUCCGCCUGGGGAGUACGUACGCAAGUAUGAAACUCAAAGGAAUUGACGGGGACCCGCACAAGCGGUGGAGCAUGUGGUUUAA
rnacentral:rRNA from 1 species